CAUAUACUCCCUCCGUCUCAAAAUUAUUAUCUUGGUUUUGUUUAGAUGUGGAUGCAUCUGGUCACGUUUUAGUAUCUAGAUGCAGCCAUAUCUAAAAAAAAUCUAAAACAAGAAUUUUGAAACGGAGAGAGUAUUUA
rfam:Hordeum vulgare subsp. vulgare, WGS project CAJW01000000 data, contig: morex_contig_48254